rnacentral:rRNA from 1 species
AUGGGCGUGGGCGUGAUGGAGGGGAUGAAGCCGGUGGCAGCGAUGGUGGUGGUGCAGUUCGUGUUCGCCGGCGUCAACAUCUUCUACAAGCUGGCCGUGAGCGACGGCAUGGACAUGCGGGUCCUCGUCGCCUACCGCUUCCUCUUCGCCUCCGCCGUCCUCUCGCCCAUCGCAUACUUCGUCGAGAGGAAGAAGCGAACCAAGGUGACGUGGCGAGUCCUGCUGCUCUCCUUCGUCUGCGGGCUCUGUGGGGGCUCGCUGGCCCAGAACCUCUACAUCUCCGGCAUGAAGCUCACCUCCGCCACCUUCGCCUCCGCCAUGACCAACCUCAUCCCGGCCAUCACCUUCGUGCUCGCCGUGCUCUUCCGCUACGAGCGCCUCGCCAUCCGCACUCUCGCCGGCCUGGCCAAGGUCACUGGCACGCUGCUCGGCGUCGGCGGCGCCAUGCUGCUCACCUUCUACAAGGGCGCCCAGGUCACCCCCUGGCCACCCACCCACAUCAACCUCGCAGCCCAGCUCGCCGCCCGGCACCAACACGAGGAACAUGCCUCCUCCUCCCUUCACCCGGACAGCGGCAACCGCGCCAUGGGCUGCCUGCUCUGCACCGGCAGCUGCUUCUUCUACGCGCUCUGGCUCAUCCUGCAGGCCCGGCUCAGCCGGGAGUACCCCUUCCACUACUCCACCACGGCGCUCAUGUGUGGCAUGAGCGCGCUCCAGUCCGCCGCCUUUGCGCUCUGCUUCGACCGGGACCUCAUCCAGUGGCGCCUCUCCUCCGGUGUCCGCCUACUCGCCGUCCUCUACACCGGUGUGGUCGCCUCGGGGGUCAUGCUCGUGGUGCUCUCCUGGUGCGUCAAGCGCCGGGGCCCCCUCUUCGCGUCCGUCUUCAACCCCAUGAUGCUGGUGGUGGUGGCCGUGUUGAGCUCGCUCCUGCUCGGCGAGGAGCUGCACCUCGGCAGCGUGCUCGGCGCCGUGCUCAUCGUGCUGGGCCUCUACUCCGUGCUCUGGGGAAAAGGCCGCGAGGCCGUGGAGCACGAGCCGGCCAAGGCCCGCGCCGCUGGCACCGAGCUGCCGCACAUCGACAUCGUCGUGCAUCGCCAUGAUCCUCCUCCGACGCCGCAGCAGCAGAGCACGGAGCCGGGGCCGGCGCGGUAA